GAUGAACGCUGGCGGCGUGCUUAACACAUGCAAGUCGAACGAUGAAGCCCAGCUUGCUGGGUGGAUUAGUGGCGAACGGGUGAGUAACACGUGAGUAACCUGCCCUUGACUCUGGGAUAAGCCUGGGAAACUGGGUCUAAUACUGGAUAUGACUUCUCAUCGCAUGGUGGGGGGUGGAAAGAUUUAUUGGUCUUGGAUGGACUCGCGGCCUAUCAGCUUGUUGGUGAGGUAAUGGCUCACCAAGGCGACGACGGGUAGCCGGCCUGAGAGGGUAACCGGCCACACUGGGACUGAGACACGGCCCAGACUCCUACGGGAGGCAGCAGUGGGGAAUAUUGCACAAUGGGCGCAAGCCUGAUGCAGCGACGCCGCGUGAGGGAUGACGGCCUUCGGGUUGUAAACCUCUUUCAGUAGGGAAGAAGCGAGAGUGACGGUACCUGCAGAAGAAGCGCCGGCUAACUACGUG
rnacentral:rRNA from 1 species